UGGGGGAUAUUGCGCAAUGGAGGAAACUCUGACGCAGCAACGCCGCGUGAAGGAAGAAGGCCUUCGGGUUGUAAACUUUUGUCUUCAGGGAAGAAAAAAAUGACGGUACCUGAGGAGGAAGCCACGGCUAACUACGUGCCAGCAGCCGCGGUAAUACGUAGGUGGCGAGCGUUGUCCGGAAUUACUGGGUGUAAAGGGUGCGUAGGCGGGUAAUUAAGUCAGAUGUGAAAUACCGAGGCUCAACCUCGGAGCUGCAUUUGAAACUGAUUAUCUUGAGUGAAGUAGAGGCAAGCGGAAUUCCCAGUGUAGCGGUGAAAUGCGUAGAUAUUGGGAGGAACACCAGUGGCGAAGGCGGCUUGCUGGGCUUUAACUGACGCUGAGGCACGAAAGCAUGGGGAGCAAACAGG
rnacentral:rRNA from 1 species